UGUGAAAUCGAGUAGGUCGGGACACGUGAUAUCCUGACUGAACAUGGGGGGACCAUCCUCCAAGGCUAAAUACUCCUAACUGACCGAUAGUGAACCAGUACCGUGAGGGAAAGGCGAAAAGAACCCCUGUGAGGGGAGUGAAAUAGAUCCUGAAACCGUGUGCGUACAAGCAGUAGGAGCAGACUUGUUCUGUGACUGCGUACCUUUUGUAUAAUGGGUCAGCGACUUAUUGUCAGUAGCAAGGUUAACCGUUUAGGGGAGCCGUAGGGAAACCGAGUCUUAAUAGGGCGUCUAGUUGCUGGCAAUAGACCCGAAACCGAGCGAUCUAUCCAUGGCCAGGGUGAAGGUUAGGUAACACUGACUGGAGGCCCGAACCCACGUAUGUUGAAAAAUGCGGGGAUGAGCUGUGGAUCGGAGUGAAAGGCUAAUCAAGCUCGGAGAUAGCUGGUUCUCCCCGAAAACUAUUUAGGUAGUGCGUCAUGUCUCACCACUGGGGGUAGAGCACUGUUACGGCUAGGGGGUCAUCCCGACUUACCAACCCGUUGCAAACUCCGAAUACCAGUGAGUGCAAUCAUGGCAGACACACGGCGGGUGCUAACGUCCGUCGUGAAAAGGGCAACAACCCAGACCGCCAGCUAAGGUCCCAAAUGCUAGUUAAGUGGGAAACGAUGUGGGAAGGCUCAGACAGCUAGGAGGUUGGCUUAGAAGCAGCCACCCUUUAAAGAAAGCGUAAUAGCUCACUAGUCGAGUCGGCCUGCGCGGAAGAUGUAACGGGGCUAAAUUAGCAACCGAAGCUGCGGAUGCACUUAGUGCAUGGUAGGGGAGCGUUCUGUAAGCCGCUGAAGGUGAACUGUGAAGUUUGCUGGAGGUAUCAGAAGUGCGAAUGCUGACAUGAGUAACGACAAGGGGAGUGAAAAACUCCCCCGCCGGAAGAUCAAGGUUUCCUGUCCAACGCUAAUCGGGACAGGGUUAGUCGGCCCCUAAGGCGAGGCAGAAAUGCGUAGUCGAUGGGAAGCAGGUUAAUAUUCCUGCACUUUUUAUAACUGCGACGGAGGGACGGAGCAGGCUAGGCCAGCGCGGCGAUGGUUGUCCGCGUUUAAGCAAGUAGGCUGGUGACUUAGGUAAAUCCGGGUUGCUAAGGCUGAGAUGUGAUGCCGAGACUCUUUAUUGAGU
rnacentral:rRNA from 1 species